rnacentral:rRNA from 1 species
GACGGAGGAUGCAAGCGUUAUCCGGAAUUAUUGGGCGUAAAGCGUCCGCAGGUGGACAUACAAGUCUGCUGUCAAAGUGCAGAGCUUAACUCUGUAAAGGCGGUGGAAACUGUAGGUCUUGAGUAUGGUAGGGGUAGAGGGAAUUCCGGGUGUAGCGGUGAAAUGCGUAGAUAUCCGGAGGAACACCGGUGGCGAAGGCGGCUUCCUGGACCGACACUGACGCUGAGGCGCGAAAGCCAGGGGAGCAAACGGG